ACAUGCAAGUCGAACGGUGAACAUGGAGCUUGCUCUGUGGGAUCAGUGGCGAACGGGUGAGUAACACGUGAGCAACCUGCCCCUGACUCUGGGAUAAGCGCUGGAAACGGCGUCUAAUACUGGAUAUGUGACGUGACCGCAUGGUCUGCGUCUGGAAAGAAUUUCGGUUGGGGAUGGGCUCGCGGCCUAUCAGCUUGUUGGUGAGGUAAUGGCUCACCAAGGCGUCGACGGGUAGCCGGCCUGAGAGGGUGACCGGCCACACUGGGACUGAGACACGGCCCAGACUCCUACGGGAGGCAGCAGUGGGGAAUAUUGCACAAUGGGCGCAAGCCUGAUGCAGCAACGCCGCGUGAGGGACGACGGCCUUCGGGUUGUAAACCUCUUUUAGCAGGGAAGAAGCGAAAGUGACGGUACCUGCAGAAAAAGCGCCGGCUAACUACGUGCCAGCAGCCGCGGUAAUACGUAGGGCGCAAGCGUUAUCCGGAAUUAUUGGGCGUAAAGAGCUCGUAGGCGGUUUGUCGCGUCUGCUGUGAAAUCCGGAGGCUCAACCUCCGGCCUGCAGUGGGUACGGGCAGACUAGAGUGCGGUAGGGGAGAUUGGAAUUCCUGGUGUAGCGGUGGAAUGCGCAGAUAUCAGGAGGAACACCGAUGGCGAAGGCAGAUCUCUGGGCCGUAACUGACGCUGAGGAGCGAAAGGGUGGGGAGCAAACAGGCUUAGAUACCCUGGUAGUCCACCCCGUAAACGUUGGGAACUAGUUG
rnacentral:rRNA from 1 species